CCUACGGGAGGCAGCAGUGAGGAAUAUUGGUCAAUGGACGAGAGACUGAACCAGCCAAGUAGCGUGAAGGAUGAAGGCCCUAUGGAUCGUAAACUUCUUUUGUAUGGGAAUAAAGUCUUCCACGUGUGGGCUUUUGUGUGUACCAUAUGAAUAAGCAUCGGCUAACUCCGUGCCAGCAGCCGCGGUAAUACGGAGGAUCCGAGCGUUAUCCGGAUUUAUUGGGUUUAAAGGGUGCGUAGGCGGAUUGUUAAGUCAGUUGUGAAAGUUUGGGGGUCAACCGUAGAAUUGCAGUUGAAACUGGCAGUCUUGAGUAGAGGAGAGGUGGGCGGAAUGCGCGGUGUAGCGGUGAAAGGCUUAGAUAUCACGAAGAACUCCGAUUGCGAAGGCAGCUUACUGGACUGCAACUGACACUGAGGCACGAAAGUGUGGGUAUCAAACAGGAUUAGAUACCCGUGUAGUC
rnacentral:rRNA from 1 species